AUUAAAACGAUUAACAUCCAACAUUCAAUUAAAUCUACCAAGAGAGAUGAAAAUUAAAAAUUCUUCCAAAGGGCACUCACUAGCCGUGACACCUAUCAACAAAGCACCGUCCACCACUUGUACAGAAAAGAAAUAAAUGACCUAAAAGAAAUUACACUAUAGACUACAACCUACUCCUAUCUAUCAACAUUGGCACCAAAAUAAAAGGGAGAUGCUAAAAGAAAG
rnacentral:lncRNA from 1 species